GGCUGCGAUGGUUACCGGGUGUGAGAGCAUGGCCCGGCUCACUGGGACUGAGACACUGCCCAGACAUCUACGGAUGGCCGCAGUCGAGAAUCUUCGGCAAUGGACGAAAGUCUGACCGAGCGACGCCGCGUGCGGGAUGAAGGCCUUCGGGCUGUAAACCGCUGUCAGUUAGGAGGAAAUCCAUGGGGGUUAUCCCUUAUGGUUGACCGAUUUUCAGAGGAAGGACGGGCUAAGUUCGUGCCAGCAGCCGCGGUAACACGAACCGUCCAAACGUUAUUCGGUAUCACUGGGCUUAAAGCGUGCGUAGGCGGCUUGGAAGGUGAGAUGUGAAAGCCCACGGCUCAACCGUGGAAUUGCGUUUCAAACCCUCAAGCUUGAGGAAGACAGGGGUGAUGGGAACUUAUGGUGGAGCGGUGAAAUGCGUUGAUAUCAUAGGGAACACCGGUGGCGAAGGCGCAUCACUGGGUCUUUUCUGACGCUGAGGCACGAAAGCUAGGGUAGCGAACGGGAUUAGAUACCCCGGUAGUCCUAGCUGUAAACGAUGAGCACUGGGUUGAGGGGACUUCCACAUCCUCUCGGCCGUAGCGAAAGCGUUAAGUGCUCCGCCUGGGGAGUAUGGUCGCAAGGCUGAAACUCAAAGGAAUUGACGGGGGCUCACACAAGCGGUGGAGGAUGUGGCUUAAUUCGAGAUACGCGAAGUACCUUAUCCUAGAUUUGACAUGCUUGAGAAUCCCUAUGAAAGUAGAGAGUGCCCUUCGGGGAGCUCUUGCACAGGUGCUGCAUGGCUGUCGUCAGCUCGUGUCGUGAGGUGUCGGGUUAAGUCCCUUAACGAGCGAAACCCUUAUCUCUAGUUGCCAGCGGGUAAUGCCGGGGACUCUAGAGAGACUGCCGGUGUCAAACCGGAGGAAGGUGGGGAUGACGUCAAGUCCUCAUGGCCUUUAUGUCUAGGGCUGCACACGUCCUACAAUGGCACGUACAAACGGAAGCAAUACCGCGAGGUGGAGCAAAUCCUAAAAGCGUGCCUCAGUUCGGAUUGCAGGCUGCAACUCGCCUGCAUGAAGCCGGAAUCGCUAGUAAUCGUAGGUCAGCAUACUACGGUGAAUGUGUUCCUGAGCCCUUUACACACCGCCCGUCAAGCCACGAAAGUUGGGAGGGCCCGAAGUCGCUAAGCUAACUCGCAAGAGAGGCAGGCGCCGAAGGUCAGCUCGACGAUUGGGACUAAGUCGUAACAA
rnacentral:rRNA from 1 species